GCCGAAGUGGCGGAAUUGGUAGACGCGCUAGGUUCAGGGUCUAGUCCCGGCAACGGGGUAGGGGUUCGAGUCCCCUCUUCGGCA
rfam:Candidate division TM6 bacterium GW2011_GWF2_38_10 TS69_C0029, whole genome shotgun sequence.